rnacentral:rRNA from 1 species
UAUUCCUACGGGACGCAGCAGUGAGGAAUAUUGGUCAAUGGCCGCAGGGCUGAACCAGCCAAGUCGCGUGAGGGAUGACGGUCCUAUGGAUUGUAAACCUCUUUUGUCAGGGAGCAAAGGGCGCCACGUGUGGCGUUUUGCGAGUACCUGAAGAAAAAGCAUCGGCUAACUCCGUGCCAGCAGCCGCGGUAAUACGUAGGGGGCAAGCGUUAUCCGGAUUUACUGGGUGUAAAGGGAGCGUAGACGGCAAGGCAAGCCAGAAGUGAAAGGGCAGGGCUCAACCCUGUACAUGCUUUUGGAACUGC